AUGUGCGCUUGCGUCCCGGAGUCGACACGCCUACUGAAGCGCGUGAGGCUGUAUCUGCGCCUGCCCUGGUGCCCCGGAGACGUGUGGGAAAUGGAGUUUCUAGCAAAUAUGCCCUUUCUGAGCAUCAUGGCAAAGGUGCUGGCCUUUGUCAUCAUUGUCUUCAUCUUUGAGAAAAAGGGAGAGUCUGAUGAGAUCACAGAAGAUGAAGAUGGAGGGUUUACACCAAUGAAAAGCAAUUUGUCUUUGAAAACGACAAUGACUACAUCAGAGAAAUGCCACUUGAGCAAAGAUGACUUCUGAUGAAAAACUCAGUUGGAUGUACUUUUUACUUGGGGAAAACUGUGAGUGAUAUGAUGGAAAAUGCUAUCCACAUCCAUAGAAAGAACUAUGGAGUCUGAAUGAAGAUUGAAGUAUACUAUUUUCACUUUUUUUGUUCGUUUUUGUGUUUUUUCCCUUUUGUUCUGUUUCUUCUUUCACAACACUACUAAUGUGGAAAUAUGUUUAACAUGAUUGUACAUGCAGAACCUAUAUCA
rnacentral:lncRNA from 1 species